CCAAAUGGCUCCCUUCUCCUCUCAAAUCUGCUACUUCCAACUCGAGCCAAACUCGCCGGAAAACUUAGAAAAAACCGGCGAGUGCGCUAAGCCGAGUUUCACGGUCCCCCCUCUCAUCUUCUCCUUCUUCCACGUCAUCCCUUCCGUACUAAAUCUCAUGAUUCCUUAAAUCGAUUCACGUGUUCUCUUUAUUCGUUCUAUUUUUGUUGAGGCAAUUUCGGACCCUUGAACAAAUCUUGGAAGAAUGGGAAUCGUUGGAUGAAGAUUUUUGUCCAAAGUUUCUAUUUUUUUUUUUGUUUGUCAAAAGGGAUUUUCGGAUUUUGUUUUGGGGUCCACACAGUUUUGGGCGUUACUUGGAGAAGAGGAGAAGAAGAUUCAAGAGGGGCUAUAUAUUUGGGAUUUUCGGACAUAAAGGGAGAAAAAAAAGGUUCGGAAAGAAGCUAGGGUUGAAAAAAAAUUCUCCUUCUGUCUUCAUUUGGAAUUUUUCAGAUUUUUUGACUUAGUUUAAUUUCAAAAAUAUAAAUACAAACGAAAAAGAAAAAAAAAAUUAUGUUUCUCCUUCUGAUUUAGGAUUUUGGUUAUCACUAUGGAAUUUAGCUGAGUUGAGGUGCCGAUUUGAGUUGUCGUCCGUAGUCCGAGCUCGCAGUUCUCGCCUCACUCUUGCUUCUGUUGUUUGCAACUUUUGGUUCGAGUUCUCGCCGCUCUGUAAUUUUUGAAGAUUUGAAUAUACUGCAAAGCGAUUUCAGGUCCAUUUCCUUUCUCCUUAUCUUGUUGUUUGGUCUGAUUGUUAGUAUGAUAAGAGUUUUUGGUUUGAAAUGGGUUUAAUGGUUUAAAAUUCGAUGAAGUUUUUGCUAAAAAGGGAGAUGGACAUGAAAUGAUUUCAGUUGAGGCUAUUAAUUCUGAAUGAAGUAUAGAGUUCAUUGCUUGGUUUAAUGGUUUGCUUGAUGUUUUCUAUACCAAUAUUUCUUGUCUUUUCCUGUAUGAAUCUUAAUUAAACUAUUAGGUUUGGUUUAGAUUGUUUCACUUUCAUGUUCUGUUAGAAUUCAUGAGUGAUAUUUCUAUGUUAGUCUCAAAUGGCUCUUGCUAUAAAAUCCUCAUGAAGCAGCGCCAUUAGUUUUAAGUUUUAUGUUCUCAGAUUGACAAAAACAGGUUGAUUCAUAUGAUGUUAAUCUUGGGUUUUGAAUGAACUGUGAUUAAACUUGAAAUAUUCUGAUUAUUUAAGUUUAUGCCAAUCAUUUAGAAGACAUUAAGUUUGAAAUUGGAGCUAGUUUGUAUAAAAGGUUAAUCUAUUUUGGAAAAAUAUCAUGUUAAUGGUUAGAAACUGUUUGCUAUGUGAAAGCAGCGUGUUAAUGUCACUGUUGGUUGGAGUGAAUGGAAGUUUCCAAGAAAUGUAUCUCUAUCUUAACUCAAGUAUAAUAAUGUGAUUCAUGAAGGGUUAUUCACUUUUGUUCUUUUAUGAGUCAUUGGAGUGUAUCGUUUGUUCCAAAAAUGGAUAAUGAAUUGUGAAAGACUGUUGUUUCAGUGGCAGUGUACAUUGAUUUGUCUAGGGCUUUUGGAUUAGGAGAAUGGGCGUAUGGGGGUUAACAUAGCACGAUUGAAAUUUUAAUAUAGCUCUUAUCAUUUUUUGGUCCUCUUGCUUUAUCUUUUAAUUCCCUAGUAUUCUUGGUUUGGUCGUUUCCAUGUUACUAGUAGUAUGUGUCAUUUGGAUAAUUAUUUUGUUUGACGUUUCCUUGUCAUUAUUUGGUGUGGGAAAUUCGAUUAAGUAGAUGAACGGGGCUAUGGGGAUGGAAAAAGCCAAACAUAAUUAAAUUGUUACAUGCCUUAGUUUUCUCUUAUUUAUUUGCUUUAUUCGCUAGGAGCAUGCUUAGAUCGACUACAUUUGGGUAGGCAAGCCUUAGGAUUUUUAUUGGGUUCGAGGUGAGAGGUCGUUCCCUUAGUUAAAUUUAUCCGGGGUAUGCCCCGAGGUAUUUGUAUAUAUUUUAUUCCGGGAAAUGCCCUGUAGAACUUUGUAAUGGGAGGUCUAAAGUAGAACUUGUAGUAUUUUAUUCUUAUUUUAUGUUUUCUUUUAUUAGGUGGGGGACGACUUCGAGCCUCAUGUGUGUUUAUUUUGCUUUUCCGUGAUUUUACCUCAACUUGAAUACUUUAAAAACCGACUAGAUCGAGUAUGCAACCGCACUAGUUGCGGGACUUGGGGAGUGUCUGACACCUUCUCCCCGAGUCAAAUGAACUCCCUUACUCGAAUUUUUGGUGCGAACUUGGUUGUAGAGUCUGAAAUGUUUUAAAAGGAAAAAUUAUUUUAAAAAACGGUGAUCUGGCACAUCGAAAUCAAAGUCAGGUGGCGACUCUGAGUUAUUUCCUUUUGAACAAAUUUGUCACUUUCUAAUUGAAAAUCCUUUUGAGCUUUACAAAUCUUUUAUUAAUUUAAGAGGGUUAGUGAGGUUAUAAAAAGGGGUGUGACAGCUCUGGUGACUCUGCUGGGGAGUUACAGGUUCGAUCUGAUACUUGAUUUUGUUGGCUUUUUAGAAUAUUCAGUUGUGGUUUUUUAUGUUUUCUUUAUUUACUUUAUUUGAUUUAUUUUGUUUAUGUCGCUUUAUUUGCUAGUUAUUUUAUGUGUUUACAGUUUUUCCUUUAUGUGUUACUGCUUUAUAAUUGUUAUCAUAUACAUUACUCGGUCAAUUCUUUCUGCAGCAAGUCUCAGAGUACGCGUCGCGUACAUGAACUCUUUGUUGAGUCACCCUUAUUUUAGGAGGGGGGCCGUUAGACGUAUGGAGUAGGUGGAAAGCUUGAGUAGCCACCAUCGACCAUAUGCUUUCCCGAAUUGCCUUGUUAGUGAACCCCAAACUUAGGUUAGCCUUUAGGUCAUUCUUAUUUGCAUCAUGUCAUUCAAACCUAGCAGGGCUCGGUCCUAGGCACCGUGUCCCAUCGUAGGAUGCCUAUCCAAAUUAUGUCAAAAAUGGGCCCGUGGCCCAAAAUAAUAUUGUGCUAAAUAUUGUAUCUACGAGGGUAGUAAGGUCAUUUGGCG
rnacentral:lncRNA from 1 species